GGAAAAUGUUCAAGCUUCUUCAGCUUCCAUAGGCAGGUUCUGCUUCCCUCAAACUUAGGAAAGGGCUUCAGAUGUGGAGCAGCCUAAAAGAAUGACACAUGCCCACUCUAAUUAGCUGGCCAAAUUAGUUCUACAGAAGAGAAGUACCUUGGGAUUUCGGAGCAGAAAGUGAUGAUUCUGAGGAGGCUUUAGAGGAGGGGAGAUUUGAUCAAGUCUUGAAGGAUGAGAAAGUUGGUAGGGUUGUAGGUAGGGAUAGGAGAAGGAUUUCGAGAGACACAUAUGGAAUGACAAUAUUAAGAAUGCUGAACUGGGGAAAACAAAUGCAAGCGCUGUGCUAGCAGGAAGGUCUGUGAAGUUUGCAAUAAAGCCAUUAUGAAGUCAAGAAUGGAGGUUCCAUUUUUAAAGAACUCAGAGGGGGUAGAUCUUGAUUGACAUCUCAUCUGGGGUCACCUGGUCUUCAACUGAGAGAUCUUUUGGUUCGCCACGGAUGCCCCUUGCAGUUAUGGAAGUUCACUCUUUGAGAGAGAGAUAAAUAAACAUUAAAAUGUAAAGAAAAAAAAAAUCAGCAAUGGAAGGAAAAAGGAACAAAAAGCAAUCCAUUGGCGUCAAGCUUGACUGGACCACUCCACUGCUCUGCUGCCCUUCCCUGACCAGAGGUCGUUUUGAGUUUCCUUCUCUGGAAUUUGACCACUGAGCAGAGACACAUAGGAGAGAAGACGUGAAUGCUGAGUCAUCAAUCAGCAUCACUGGGAAGAAAAAGCCUCUCAGUUUCUUCUGCUGGGACUCCCAGAGCUGGAGUAUUUUCUGCUCUUCCUAAGGCCUGAAUCUCACCUUGUCACCCAGGCUGGAGUGCAAUGGCAUAAUCUCAGCUCACUGCAACCUCUGUCUCCCAGGCUCAAAUGAUUCUCCUGCCUCAGCCUCCUGAGUAGCUGGGAUUACAGGCGCCCAUGGACUACCAGCUUUUUAAGUAGACUUUUUAGCCAAAGGCCAAGGGAAACUACCCUCUUCCUACUGGGGUUCAAAUUGAUUAAAAUGGUUUGCUUUGA
rnacentral:lncRNA from 1 species